GAUGAACGCUGGCGGCGUGCCUAAUACAUGCAAGUCGAGCGAACAGACGAGGAGCUUGCUCCUCUGACGUUAGCGGCGGAUGGGUGAGUAACACGUGGAUAACCUACCUAUAAGACUGGGAUAACUUCGGGAAACCGGAGCUAAUACCGGAUAAUAUAUUGAACCGCAUGGUUCAAUAGUGAAAGACGGCUUUGCUGUCACUUAUAGAUGGAUCCGCGCCGCAUUAGCUAGUUGGUAAGGUAACGGCUUACCAAGGCAACGAUGCGUAGCCGACCUGAGAGGGUGAUCGGCCACCCUGGAACUGAGACACGGUCCAGACUCCUACGGGAGGCAGCAGUAGGGAAUCUUCCGCAAUGGGCGAAAGCCUGACGGAGCAACGCCGCGUGAGUGAUGAAGGUCUUCGGAUCGUAAAACUCUGUUAUUAGGGAAGAACAAAUGUGUAAGUAACUAUGCACGUCUUGACGGUACCUAAUCAGAAAGCCACGGCUAACUACGUG
rnacentral:rRNA from 1 species